AAUUGCCAAACCUUCACAUUGCAAGAUGGAUCCAGUAAGAGGAACCCACCAGAGAGAUGUCCCCGCCCUCUGUACUCCCGGGAUUCCACCCAAGAACACCAUAUGCCCCCCCACCAUUAUCAGAGCGAACUUCUUCUCGAUAUCAAAGUAGAA